UGGAAGCAUCUGAAGUCACAGAACAGAAUCUCCUUUAUUUUAAAUACUGCUGUGGCAAAACGGGAUUUCGCAGAGUCAGACUGUUUUUCUCUAAAUGCCUCCUGGUUGAUGACUAGUUGACAUCCAGAGCAAGGCCAAGGAUUACAUUAGCCUGCCAUGCUCACCUGGCGAGGGAUAGCACAUACGUUCUCUCUCGUAGUUAUCUGUCAGUACAACAAUGUGCUCAAAAAUAAACGGAGAGCGUCUCACAACACAAUUUGUACAUGUUUGUCUUGCCGUAGUUGUUAUUAUGAGACAAGGGUCUCAGUAGUUCGCUGACUGGAGGCCACUUUUUUCGUGUCCCUAGUUGUUUAAUGCCUAAGGGCAAAGCUUUUAACUCUUAGUAGUGUGGAGAGAAAUCUAAUUUAGCACAGUUCACUCCUAAAAAAGAACAAGUCACAUUUGCUCUUUUGAACAUUCAGAUGUGAGUUUGCAUGGAAGUUUGAGUGGCAGUUUGCUUUCUGAUGAUCUCUUGAUGAUCAUCUUCAAAGCACCUCUGCAGUGACUCGCUGAUGGCCUGACAGAGAUGGUUCAUCCUCUGGACAUACUGGCAAAAAAGCCUUUUUGGAGCCUUGCGUUUCUUCUCAUUUUCAUUAGUUUUAGGUAAUGUGUGUCGUUGAUCAGUGGUGCCUAGUUGAAAAAGUAUUUUUCUGUUAGGAAUCCGUAGUUUCCCAGCUAAUCUGAGCGUGUGCGUGCGUGUGUGUGUGGAUUAGGAAUAGCUGUAAAUCGAAUGGCGAAAAUAUUUUCUAAGAGUACUUAGCAGUCUCUUUUUAAAAUGCUCAUAUUACAUGUGAGACUUGCAAAAAUAGUAUUUAGCAAUAGUAUUCACACUUUUUUUUCCUUAUUCUGGUUUAUGCUGGCUGACAGGAAAUGAGAUGAACUGAAAUGACAUUUACCUCUUUAUGACUCAUAUGCUAGCUGUGCUGGGCAAAGGCCCUCGAUUGUACAAACACAGCAGUUUUUAAAAAAAAUGCCUUUGGCGUAAGUGCAAGCUUAUAUUAUCGGGUUGUAUUUUAAAGCCCCAGUGUGUGUCUUGCAUGUUACUGACCUUAAACUUUAGUGUUUUGUAUUGAUUUUUUUUUAAGCUCAUCUGACUGAAGGUUCAGUGCGCUUACGCCAUAGCGAGGCAUCCGUCGUCCGUUUGUCCCACCGCAAUUCACAAGAAUCCAUACUCCUCCCAGAGUACUGGUCAGAUUUUAAUGAAACACAGUGAUCACCUGAUGUGUCUUCACCCACACUGUGCUCAAGGUCAAGGCUGUACAAGUCAUUUUUACAAGAAUCGCUUCUCCUCCUGGAGUAUUGGUCUGUCUUUAGUGAAGCAAGGCUAGAUAAUCCUGGAUACGACUGUUUGUGAGCCUCCUUGACUUCUCCCUCGACUUUAAUUAUCAUUCAUUUGUGCAAAAGAGCCGCACAGCUUUCUUUCUGUACUUCACACAUUACAACAACCUUUGAACUGUGAUGGAUCAUGAAGCAAAUGAGCUGUAAUGUCACUGACGCUUUGGUUAGUGAGUGUUUAGUUUUUUUACAUUUUAUUGUAGAUUUUAAUUAGGAUAAUUGUCUUAAGGGGCAUCAUUCUGUUUUAAAUUUUACACUUAGAAAAGAGGCCAAAAAAUACCAUUUUUAUAUGGCGUCCUCUUGAUAUUAGUUUAGAAAGUAUCCAUCCACUUUCUUCCGCUUAUCCAGUUCAGGGUCAUGGAGGCUUAGCUGGAGCCUUUGCCAGCUGCCAUAGAGCAGAGGUGGGGUACACUCUGGACACGUUGCCAGUCUCAUAUUCAUAUGAAUGGGCAAUUUACAAUGCUUGGAGUCUGAGAGUAAGCCAGAAAGAACAGGGAAAACACGCAGACUCCCAGAAACACUUCAUGGAUUUGAACCCAAGACCUUCUUGCUGUGAGGCAACAGGUUCAACCACUGCACUACCGGCAUAGAAGCUAUUAACAAAAACACAAAGUUAGCGUGUGGAUCUAUCGGAUACUAGCUGAGAUUUCCUGGGCAUGCCCCCGUGGAAAGAGGCCCCGGGGUAGGCCCAGGCCACGCCGGAGACACUACGUCCCUCAGCACUGCCUGGGAAUGCCUCGGUGCUUUCCCCGAAUGAGCUGAAGGAGGUGGCUGGGGAGAGGGAGGUUUGGGAUUCCCUUUUGAUCCAGCCCCAGAUGAGCUGGUGGAAAGCGGAUGGAUGGAUGGAUGUUUAAUUUCUAUGACUGAACCUGAACAAGAUGGUGAAACAUAGGAGUCACACACUGGGGUUUAUUGUAUCCCGACUCCUGCUUUCAUUUGACGUCAGUGUAAAUAGAAGCGGUUUGAUUUGUCUCGCCUUGUCAGAAGCCAAUUUGUGUGGAGAAAUAUGCCCCAGAUUUUACCUUUGUUACCACUCUUUGGCCAAGGCCUGAUAUAAGACUGUUACCUCGCUCGAGUUUUGACUGUAAAGGACUGUUCUCUCCUUCUGAAGAUAGUAUCUACUAUAUAUUUGUACUGAUUUUAUUUUGUAAUGCCAAAAGUUAAAGAAUUGAAUAAAAAUACAAAAAAAAAAACCAAACCUCACAUUGGUACAGCCGUUGAACCAUUUUGCCAGAAAACAAAAAACAAAACAUCCAAUCCUUUUGAUUCAGGAUAACUCAAGACUGUCUCCUUCUACUCCUGCAGCUACGAGACAGCAGCAUAUAUAGCAGUAUGUAUAUGUGACUGUACAUGGAAUAGUUCCGAUUAAUAUUACUACAACAUGUGGUGUACUUUGAAGGUAUCUUUGUGCAAUUCUACCUGCGGCUCUUCAGCGUGUCGUACGUAUGUGUGAGAGAGUAACCGUGCCGUUUUCUUGUUAAAAAUCACUGUCGCUUAUUGUGAGGAUAAUGUUGAGUAUAAUGUUAACAUAAUAACUGUCGAUUUAAAAAAAAAAAAGCCAAAACUUUUUCGUGUCAUCAUGGAUAUCAAGUUGAUUUUGUAUCUUGGUGUAAAGCAGAUUCAGAGGUUUCCGAUGCAUACUGAGUGAGAUGUUCUCACGUUUGUUGUGUCUGUUUGGUUGCACACCAUCAUGUUUUUUUGCUUUGUUUGUUUGGGGGGUUUUUUUUGUUUUGUUUUUUGUUUUUUAGAAGGUGGGGUUGUAUUUAGAUUUCUUCCAUCUCACUGAUCAUCACUGAGAUUCUGCGAUAUUGGACGCAGACGUCUGCUUAACUCUAUUGAACAGAAAACUGUGGAUUUUGUGUCAAAAUAAAUGUGCUACCAAAUACA
ensembl:lncRNA